CCUACGGGUGGCUGCAGUGGGGGAUAUUGCACAAUGGGGGGAACCCUGAUGCAGCGACGCCGCGUGGGGGAAGAAGCGCCUCGGCGCGUAAAGCCCUGUCAGCAGGGAAGAAAAUGAAGGUACCUGAUGAAGAAGCCACGGCUAACUACGUGCCAGCAGCCGCGGUAAUACGUAGGGGGCAAGCGCUAUCCGGAUUUACUGGGUGUACAGUGGGCGCGGACGGCGAGGCAAGACAGGAGUGAAAGCCCGGGGCCCAACCCCGGGACUGCUCUUGGAACUGCGUGGCUGGAGUGCAGGAGGGGCAGGUGGAAUUCCAGGUGUAGCGGUGAAAUGCGUAGAUAUCAGGAGGAACACCGGUGGCGAAGGCGGCCUGCUGGACUGCAACUGACGUUGAGGCCCGAAAGCGUGGGGAGCAAACAGGAGUAGAUACCCCAGUAGUC
rnacentral:rRNA from 1 species